rnacentral:snRNA from 1 species
UAAUUUGAGCUCAGUUAUUAGUUGUUUCUUCAAAAAUACAAUAUUUCAGAAACACGGAAACCAAAUACAUCAUUGCAUUUAAAAAUCGCAUUUAAGUGAUAAACUCCAUCCGUAAUAGAGGUAAAAUCGAUCCCUAAGCC